rnacentral:rRNA from 1 species
GGCCAGACUCCUACGGGAGGCAGCAGUGGGGGAUAUUGGACAAUGGGGGAAACCCUGAUCCAGCGACGCCGCGUGAGUGAAGAAGUAUUUCGGUAUGUAAAGCUCUGUCAGCAGGGAAGAAAGAAAUGACGGUACCUGACCAAGAAGCCCCGGCUAACUACGUGCCAGCAGCCGCGGUAAUACGUAGGGGGCAAGCGUUAUCCGGAAUCACUGGGUGUAAAGGGAGCGUAGGCGGCUGUGCAAGCCUGAAGUGAAAGGCGGGGGCCCAACCCCUGGACUGCUUUGGGAACUGUACGGCUGGAGUGCAGGAGAGGUAAGUGGAAUUCCUAGUGUAGCGGUGAAAUGCGUAGAUAUUAGGAGGAACACCAGUGGCGAAGGCGGCUUACUGGACUGUAACUGACGUUGAGGCUCGAAAGCGUGGGGAGCAAACAGGAUUAGAUACCCUCGUA